CGGUUAGUGGCGGACUGGUGAGUAACACGUAAGCAACCUGCCUAUCAGAGGGGAAUAACAGUGAGAAAUCAUUGCUAAUACCGCAUAUGCUCACGGUAUCACAUGAUACAGUGAGGAAAGGAGUAAUCCGCUGAUAGAUGGGCUUGCGUCUGAUUAGCUAGUUGGUGGGGCAACGGCCUACCAAGGCGACGAUCAGUAGCCGGACUGAGAGGUUGAACGGCCACAUUGGGACUGAGAUACGGCCCAGACUCC
rnacentral:rRNA from 1 species